rnacentral:rRNA from 1 species
CGUGCCCUGACGGCGUACCUUUUGUAUAAUGGGUCAUCGACUUGGUCUAUCUAGCAAGCUUAAGCCGUUAGGUGUAGGCGCAGCGAAAGCGAGUCUUAAUAGGGCGUAUGAGUUAGAUGGAUCAGACCCGAAACCGAGUGAUCUAGGCAUGACCAGGAUGAAGGUUAGGUAACACUAACUGGAGGUCCGAACCCACACCUGUUGAAAAAGGUCGGGAUGAGUUGUGCCUAGGGGUGAAAGGCCAAUCAAACUCGGAGAUAGCUGGUUCUCCGCGAAAUCUAUUUAGGUAGAGCGUCAUCCGAAUACCCCGGGGGGUAGAGCACUGGAUGGGUAAUGGGGCCCCACAGGCUUACUGAUCCUAACCAAACUCCGAAUACCCGGGAGUACUAGAUGGCAGACACACCACGGAUGCUAACGUCCGUGGUGGAGAGGGAAACAACCCUGACCUCCAGCUAAGGCCCCUAAUUCAUGGCUAAGUGGGAAAGCAGGUGGGACGACCAAAACAACCAGGAGGUUGGCUUAGAAGCAGCCAUCCUUUAAAGAUAGCGUAACAGCUCACUGGUCUAAUCAAGUUGUCCUGCGGCGAAGAUGUAACGGGGCUCAAGCCAUGAGCCGAAGCUGAGGAUGCACGUAGUGCAUGGUAGCGGAGCGUAGUGUGACAUAACACCAUGCCUCCUUAGUCCCCUCGGGGACAUUGGAGGCGAGGUGUUUUCGAUGAAGCCGGCGCGUGAGCGAUCCGGUGGAGAGAUCACUAGCGAGAAUGAUGACAUGAGUAGCGACAAACAGGGUGAGAGACCCUGUCGCCGAAAGUCCAAGGGUUCCUGCUUAAAGCUAAUCUGAGCAGGGUAAGCCGGCCCCUAAGGCGAGGCCGAAAGGCGUAGUCGAUGGGAACCAGGUUAAUAUUCCUGGGCCAGGAGAUGGUGACGGAUCACAAAGGUAGUUCAAUCUUAUCGGAUUGAUUGGGCUGCUCCGUGGUCCCUGGAAAUAGCCCUCCGUAGGACCGUACCCGAAACCGACACAGGUGGACUGGUAGAGAAUACCAAGGCGCUUGAGAGAACGAUGUUGAAGGAACUCGGCAAAAUACCUCCGUAAGUUCGCGAGAAGGAGGCCCAGUUUCUAGGCAACUAGUGGCUGGGGGCACAAACCAGGGGGUGGCGACUGUUUACUAAAAACACAGGGCUCUGCGAAGUCGCAAGACGACGUAUAGGGUCUGACGCCUGCCCGGUGCCGGAAGGUUAAAAGGAGGGGUGCAAGCUCCGAAUUGAAGCCCCGGUAAACGGCGGCCGUAACUAUAACGGUCCUAAGGUAGCGAAAUUCCUUGUCGGGUAAGUUCCGACCUGCACGAAUGGCGUAACGACUUCCCCGCUGUCUCCAACAUCGACUCAGCGAAAUUGAAUUGCCUGUCAAGAUGCAGGCUUCCCGCGGUUAGACGGAAAGACCCCGUGCACCUUUACUACAGCUUCACACUGGCAUCAGGCACAACAUGUGCAGGAUAGGUGGUAGACUUUGAAACCGGAACGCCAGUUUCGGUGGAGUCAUCCUUGAGAUACCACCCUUGUUCUGCUUGAUGUCUAACCGCGAUCCCUUAUCGGGUUCCGGGACCCUGUGUGGCGGGUAGUUUGACUGGGGCGGUCGCCUCCUAAAGCGUAACGGAGGCGCGCGAAGGUUGGCUCAGAGCGGUCGGAAAUCGCUCGUUGAGUGCAAUGGCAUAAGCCAGCCUGACUGCGAGACUGACAAGUCGAGCAGAGUCGAAAGACGGCCAUAGUGAUCCGGUGGUCCCAAGUGGGAGGGCCAUCGCUCAACGGAUAAAAGGUACGCCGGGGAUAACAGGCUGAUACUGCCCAAGAGUCCAUAUCGACGGCAGUGUUUGGCACCUCGAUGUCGGCUCAUCUCAUCCUGGGGCUGGAGCAGGUCCCAAGGGUACGGCUGUUCGCCGUUUAAAGAGGUACGUGAGCUGGGUUUAGAACGUCGUGAGACAGUUCGGUCCCUAUCUGCCGUGGGUGUAGGAUACUUGAGAGGAGUUGCCCCUAGUACGAGAGGACCGGGGUGAACGGACCACUGGUGGACCUGUUGUCGUGCCAACGGCAGUGCAGGGUAGCUAUGUCCGGACAGGAUAACCGCUGAAGGCAUCUAAGCGGGAAGCCCCCCUCAAAACAAGGUAUCCCUGAGGGCCGUGGUAGACCACCACGUCGAUAGGAUGGAGAUGUAAGUGCGGUAACGCAUUCAGUUGACCAUUACUAAUUGCCCGAUAGGCUUGAUUUG